CACAACGACCUGCCCGACGCCCCGACCCCGCGCUGCUGCGUCGCCCGCGGAGCUGGAACGCCGCGCAGCCCCGCGGGUCACCUGCCCUCGCAUCGCCUCCUACGCCGCGGCGGCUAACGGUCCGCCUUGAGCUUGGCAUCUCCGCCACCGCACACUCAGGGGAACAGAGCAGAGGUCUACGCAAAGUCAAGCAUGCAUCCAUUGCAAGCAGUGGACAAACCAAGCAACAUAUCUUGUCUGAACGCUAGAAACAAAAGACAAGAGGCUGUCAAGCUGCACCGAUAUGGGUGCACAUCGCAUCAGGUUCGUACACACUUCUAUUUUCCUUCUAUUUAUAAUAUCUUGAGCAUCACAAUUGCAUCAGGGAUGUUUGUUUGGAUUCUUCUAUUUUGGAGUCUC